rnacentral:rRNA from 1 species
UUAAAUUGAAGAGUUUGAUCAUGGCUCAGAUUGAACGCUGGCGGCAGGCUUAACACAUGCAAGUCGAACGGUAACAUGAGUGCUUGCACUUGAUGACGAGUGGCGGACGGGUGAGUAAGGUAUGGGGAUCUGCCGAAUGGAGGGGGACAACAGUUGGAAACGACUGCUAAUACCGCAUAAAGUUGAGAGACCAAAGCAUGGGACCUACGGGCCAUGCGCCAUUUGAUGAACCCAUAUGGGAUUAGCUAGUUGGUGGGGUAAUGGCUCACCAAGGCGACGAUCUCUAGC